UACAACCACUAGGGGUGCGUUUAUGCUGAGAAAGGCGUUUAGCCUUAACCCUUUACCUGAUCUAGGUAAUGCUAGCGAAGGGAAGUGCGGUGUACAAUAG
rnacentral:ncRNA from 2 species